rnacentral:lncRNA from 1 species
UCUGGAUUCACCUUCAGUAGCUACUGGAUGCACUGGGUCCGCCAAGCUCCAGGGAAGGGGCUGGUGUGGGUCUCACGUAUUAAUAGUGAUGGGAGUAGCACAAGCUACGCGGACUCCGUGAAGGGCCGAUUCACCAUCUCCAGAGACAACGCCAAGAACACGCUGUAUCUGCAAAUGAACAGUCUGAGAGCCGAGGACACGGCUGUGUAUUACUGUGCAAGAGACACGCUGUGCUACUGGUACUUCGAUCUCUGGGGCCGUGG